GACGAACGCUGGCGGCGUGCUUAACACAUGCAAGUCGAACGGAAAGGCCCUGCUUUUGUGGGGUGCUCGAGUGGCGAACGGGUGAGUAACACGUGAGUAACCUGCCCUUGACUUUGGGAUAACUUCAGGAAACUGGGGCUAAUAACGGAUAGGAGCUCCUGCUGCAUGGUGGGGGUUGGAAAGUUUCGGCGGUUGGGGAUGGACUCGCGGCUUAUCAGCUUGUUGGUGGGGUAGUGGCUUACCAAGGCUUUGACGGUUAGCCGGCCUGAGAGGGUGACCGGCCACAUUGGGACUGAGAUACGGCCCAGACUCCUACGGGAGGCAGCAGUGGGGAAUAUUGCACAAUGGGCGGAAGCCUGAUGCAGCAACGCCGCGUGCGGGAUGACGGCCUUCGGGUUGUAAACCGCUUUCGCCUGUGACGAAGCGUGAGUGACGGUAAUGGGUAAAGAAGCACCGGCUAACUACGUG
rnacentral:rRNA from 1 species